rnacentral:rRNA from 1 species
UACGUAGGGGGCAAGCGUUGUCCGGAUUUAUUGGGCGUAAAGAGCGUGUAGGCGGCCAUUCAGGUCAGCUGUGAAAACUCGAGGCUCAACCUCGAGACGUCGGUUGAAACCGUUUGGCUAGAGUCCGGAAGAGGAGAGUGGAAUUCCCGGUGUAGCGGUGAAAUGCGCAGAUAUCGGGAGGAACACCGAUGGCGAAGGCAGGUCACUGGGCCGCAACUGACGCUGAGGAGCGAAAGCAUGGGGAGCGAACAGG